AACAAAGUUGUAAACAAAGAACAUUUCGAGUUUGGUCUUUCUCCCCUUCAUGCAAAAAUACGCUUCUUUGAAUACUUUUUACAUAUAUCUUACAAGUCCUCCGUCAAGAUGUGGCAGGUGAGAGAUCCGGAAAAAAAAUUGGAAGUAAUGAAAAGAAAGCAAAAAAUUCAAAAAGAAUUUCGCGAAAAAAUGGGAUUAAUAGUUGACAAGCCCAGAGAUGGGGGUAGAGGAUCAUCAAACGACGGAAAUGUCGCUAGAAAAUUCUUUUCUAAUCCAAAAUUGGCAUCUGAUAUUACAGGAAUAGAUGAAAACUUGAUCCAUCGUUGUGCCACUAUACUUCAAGCUAUUGCAUCGGGCUACAAAAUUAAUGCCAAGAAAUUUAAUGAAUACGCUUUAGAAACUGCCAAGCAACUGACAAAAAAAUAUUCAUGAACAUGCAAUUAUAUCAAUUGGAGAGCUUUCCGAGGAAGCUGCGGAAUCAAACAACAAAGAAAUUAAAAAAUGUAGACUUUAUCACAGCCGGAAAAUGUCACGGAUUAUUACAAACACCGACAUUUUGAAUGCACUCCUUCUACGCUCCGAUCCGUUUAUAACCGGACAGAGGGACCUUGAGAAAAAGGAUAAGUCAACUUUGCUUGAAUCUGUUUAUAGUUUGCUAGAGGAAACAUUGUAAAAUUAAUAAUAAAGUAUUAAAUUAA